AUUCCAGCUCCAAUAGCGUAUAUUAAAGUUGUUGCAGUUAAAAAGCUCGUAGUUGGAGUUCAGGGUGAGCUCAGCCGGUCGGCGUCAUGCGUCAGAACUGGUCGACUCUCCCUUGUUUGUGGAUCCCGCCCGGAGUUAACUCUUCGGGAUGUGGAGUUCACAUCGUUUACCUUGAAAAAAUUAGAGUGUUCAAAGCAGGCGUUUGCUUGAAUAUAUUAGCAUGGAAUAAUGGAAUAGGACCCUGGUUCUAUUUUGUUGGUUUUGAGAACCAGAGUAAUGAUUAAUAGGGAUAGUUGGGGGCAUUCAUAUUUCAUUGUCAGAGGUGAAAUUCUUGGAUUUAUGAAAGAUGAACUUCUGCGAAAGCAUUUGCCAAGGAUGUUUUCAUCA
rnacentral:rRNA from 1 species